rnacentral:rRNA from 2 species
GAAGACGGCCAUAGUAGUGGGGAUCCACCUGUUCUCAUUCCGAACACAGAAGUUAAGCCUUCUACGUCCCAAGUCUAGUCUCCGAUAAGAGGCAAAGCUUGGAUGCUGUCUUCU